CUUUUUUUUUUAUUAUUGUAUUUUAUUAUUUGUAUGAGUAUAUACAGGCAAUGUUUACCAUCCAAUGAUAAACAGUCAUAACCAAAGAAAGCACAAACAAUGAAAUAUUGCUACAGUAGAAUUUCAAGUUGGCACCAAUCAGGGGAGAUGUGAUAUUAAUUAAUAAGGAUCUAUCUAGAAUUGUACAUCUCACACUACAAACAUGUCUGUAAUGAAUUCACAAAAUUCCCAGUGACUUUUGCCAUAGACCAAAUCCUACAUAUUUAUGUCAACAGCUUGACAGUUUUUAAGACAGAAAAAAAAGUCUUAAAAUUGGGGGCACAAAAAAAAAAAAAAAAAAAAAA